AUUGAACGCUGGCGGCAGGCCUAACACAUGCAAGUCGAACGAGUGGCGGACGGGUGAGUAAUGUCUGGGAAACUGCAUGAUGGAGGGGGAUAACUACUGGAACCGGUAGCAAAUACCGCAUACCAUCAGAUGUGCCCAGAUGGGAGGAGCUUGUUGGUGGGGUAACGGCGAACCAAGGCGAAGAUCCAUAGCUGGCCUGAGAGGUUGACCGGCCACACUGGAACUGAGACACGGUCCAGACUCCUACGGGAGGCAGCAGUGGGGAAUAUUGGAAAAUGGGCGAAAGCCUGAUGCAGCCAUGCCGCGUGUAUGAAGAAGGUCUUCGGGUUGUAAAGUACUGUCAGCGGGGAGGCGUUACCCGCAGAAGAAGCACCGGCUAACUCCGUGCCAGCAGCCGCGGUAAUAC
rnacentral:rRNA from 1 species